AAUAUCACUGACGAAUUUCAUUUUACAACAGAAUUGGAAAAUUCAGCUACAGUAACUAAACGAGUUAUUCUGUCGGUUGUUUCCCAGAUCUAUGAUCCCUUAGGUCUGUUAUCUCCGAGUAUAAUCAUUGCUAAAAUUCUCCUACAAAGGUUAUGGUUGCAAAAAAUUGAUUGGGAUGAUCCAGUUCCUGACGAUAUUGUGAUCAUGUGGAAUCGCUUUAUUAAUUCUAUUACAGAGACAUUAAACUUAUUACGAAUUCCGCGUUACGUCAUGAGUGAAGGGACGCUGCGUUGUGAACUUCAUAUUUUUGCAGACGCUUCACAGGAUGCAUACGGCGCCUGUGCUUAUAUAAAAACGUAUGACGAGUCUUCACGCAACACUGUUCAAUUAUUGUGUUCCAAAGGUAAAGUUGCCCCAGUUAAAACUAUUACAAUACCGCGGCUUGAGUUGUGCGCAGCACUUUUAGGUGCCAAGUUGUAUAAAAAGAUUACAGUUUCACUCAGAUUAAAAUUUAAUAAGACAUAUUUCUGGACGGAUUCAACAAUAGUGUUGGGUUGGAUUAAAAUGUCACCUCGUAUGCUUAAAACUUUCGUACAAAAUCGUGUCACACAAAUAAACGAACUGACAGGCGAUGCGCUAUGGUGCCAUGUCAGCAGCAAAGACAACCCGGCGGAUUAUGUGUCUAGAGGUUUAUAUUUGGAAGAGUUACAUAAAUGCAAAACUUGGUGGCACGGACCAGAGUUUAUAGCUGCCGAUAAUUUAAAUUAUACCACUAAUGUAAUUUUAAAUGAUACCUUAUUACCUGAAGUAAAAUCUCAGUCUCAUAUUGCUACAAAUAUCAUGACAAAUGAUUUUAACGGUGAAUUAUUUGAUUUUAACAGAUUUUCUUCAUUUAACCGAAUGCGACGCACUGCAGCAUACAUUCUGCGAUUUAUCUAUAAUAUGCGCGUGGCUAAUAAACAACUGCGUAAAACCGGUUUGUUGUCAGCUGAUGAAUUGAGCCAAUCAGAGCUUUUUUUAACGCGGUUCGCUCAAGUGCAGUCAUUUGGUAACAAUUAUGAUACACAAAAAAAACAUCGUUCGGGUAAAUUGUCAGGACUCAACGUGUUUGUAGACGCUAACAAUAUUUUGAGAGUUGGUGGUAGAUUAAAUAAUUCAAGUUUCGAUUACGAUAAAAAACAUCCCGUGUUAUUGUGCGGUAAACAUAGAUUUACAUCGUUAUUAUUUAGAUCGGAACAUAAGCGAUUAUUGCAUGCGGGACCUCAGCUUCUCUUAUCUAACAUUCGUGAGUGUUGGUGGCCAUUAGGUGGUAGAAAUCUAGGAAGAAAAACGGUACAUCAAUGUGUGACGUGUUCUCGCUUAAAGAGCGUUACUUUAAAGCCCAUUAUGGGUGAUUUGCCGGCCAAACGGCUUGAAGAGGGUUUUCCAUUUAAAUUCUGCGGCGUGGACUAUGCUGGUCCGGUUAUGAUUUUAACUCGAAAAGGCAGGGGAGCUAAAUUAAUAAAAGGUUAUAUUUGUUUAUUUGUUUGUUUUUGUACACGCGCUAUACAUUUAGAACUGGUCACUAGUUUAUCGACAGACGAUUACAUACUCGCAUUAAAGAGAUUUAUAUCUAGACGUGGUAAGCCAGCAGAGAUAUUUUCUGACAAUGGCAAGAAUUUCGUAGGCGCUGAAAGGCAAUUCCAAACAUUUUUAACUGAAAAUAUGGAAGGUAUAGUCGAUUAUGCAGCGGGCAAUGGGAUGAAAUUUAGUUUUAUUCCUCCUUACUCUCCUCAUUUCGUUGGUCUGUGGGAAGCGGGAGUAAAAUCUUGCAAGUACCACUUGAAACGUGUCGUAGGUAAUUGUAACCUAACUUAUGAAGAAUUUAGCACGGUAUUGGCACAAAUUGAAGCUGUCCUAAAUUCCCGUCCUAUAUCCGUUUUAUCCUCAGAUCCUAACGACGCGCUCCCUCUUACACCAGCUCACUUCCUGGUCGGUCGCCCCUUACUGCGCCCACACAAGGAGACCUCACAAAUACCCGAGUCACACUCUGUUGCGAUACGACCGCAUAGAAAAGAUAAGACAGCAUUUUUGGCAGAGAUGGGCUAAGGAGUAUGUGUCGGAACUUCAAAGUCGGUCCAAAUGGAAAUCCAACAUUAGCGAGCUGGCAGUUGAUACAAUAGUACUGGUCAAAGAGGACAACGUCCCCCCAUUAUCGUGGAAGCUGGCACGAGUUAUACAAGUGUAUCCGGGGAAGGACGGUGUGUCACGAGUGGCAGAUCUUCGGACCUCAUCAGGCGUGAUUCGGCGUGCAUUCUCGAAGAUUUGUCCGCUGCCUAUCACAUCACAAUGAGGAAGCGAUUCGCAUAUUUUAUCACUGAAGAUAA